rnacentral:rRNA from 1 species
GUGGGGAAUAUUGGACAAUGGGCGAAAGCCUGAUCCAGCCAUGCCGCGUGUGUGAAGAAGGUCUUCGGAUUGUAAAGCACUUUAAGUUGGGAGGAAGGGCAGUAAGUUAAUACCUUGCUGUUUUGACGUUACCGACAGAAUAAGCACCGGCUAACUUCGUGCCAGCAGCCGCGGUAAUACGUAGGGUGCAAGCGUUAAUCGGAAUUACUGGGCGUAAAGCGCGCGUAGGUGGUUUUGUAAGUUGGAGGUGAAAUCCCCGGGCUCAACCUGGGAACUGCCUCCAAAACUGCAUGACUAGAGUACGGUAGAGGGUAGUGGAAUUUCCUGUGUAGCGGUGAAAUGCGUAGAUAUAGGAAGGAACACCAGUGGCGAAGGCGACUACCUGGACUGAUACUGACACUGAGGUGCGAAAGCGUGGGGAGCAAACAGGAUUAGAAACCCCUGUAGUCC